UACGUAGGAUGCAAGCGUUGUCCGGAAUUACUGGGCGUAAAGCGCGUGUAGGCGGCACUUUAAGUAAGGUGUGAAAUAUCCCGGCUCAACCGGGAGGGUGCACUUUAGACUGAUGAGCUUGAGGUCGGUAGAGGGGGGUGGAAUUGCUGGUGUAGCGGUGAAAUGCGUAGAGAUCAGCAGGAACACCCGUGGCGAAGGCGGCCCCCUGGGCCGUACCUGACGCUGAGGCGCGAAGGCUAGGGGAGCGAACGGG
rnacentral:rRNA from 1 species